UACGUAGGGGGCAAGCGUUGUCCGGAUUUAUUGGGCGUAAAGAGCUCGUAGGUGGUUCGGUAAGUCGGAUGUGAAAUCUCCAGGCUCAACCUGGAGGGGUCAUUCGAUACUGCCGUGACUAGAGUUCGGUAGGGGAGUGUGGAAUUCCUGGUGGAGCGGUGAAAUGCGCAGAUAUCAGGAGGAACACCAGUGGCGAAGGCGGCUCACUGGUCCGGUACUGACGCUGAGGUGCGAAAGCGUGGGGAGCAAACAGG
rnacentral:rRNA from 1 species